GAGUAAUCACGACAGACACCACAUGGCUUGUAAAGUCUGAAAUAAUUACUAUCUGGCCCUUAGAGUGAAAGUUUGCCGACUUCUGCACUGUGUAGUCACUGGCUCUGUGGUACACUGUAUUUUCCAAAUAUGCCCACAAAUAUAUGGGUAUUGCCCAACCCACAUGCUCUGGUAAAAAAAUGUGAUCUUCUUAUCCCACCUCCACCAAGGGGUGAGGUCUACUUGUAUCUGGGUGGGUGGGCCAAGUGGCUGCUUUGACCAAUAAUACAGAGUGGAAUUGAUGCUGUGCCAUUGCAGGUAGGGCCCCAAGUUGCCUGGCAGCUUCUGCUUCCUGCCUAUGGAAGCCAGCCACCAUGUAAGAAGUGCAGCUACCUGAGACCACUAUGUUGUGAGAAGCUCAAAUCUCACAGAGAGGCCCUCACAGAUGACAUGCCAUGUGGAGAGAGAAAACAAGGAUCAUGGAGGUACCAGACAUACACAUAAUCCAAGAUUCUGAGAGAGAAGGUGGCUUGCAGAUGGUCACCCAGUGAGCUGGCAGCAGGACUAGGACAAAGACUCUUUCAACUGCUCCCACAGUGUCUCUCCUUUCUCAGUGGCUUUUUGAAGAGAGGGGAACAAAAGGAGAAGAAGGUUUUAAGGAAAAGAUUGAGCAGCAACAUGG